AUGCGCGAUGUCUUGCUCGCCCCCGACCGCACUCGCCGCUGCCACACGGGCUUCUGCGCGCGCGCCGGCGCUGGCCGCCGCUCGCCCGGGCCGCGUCCACGGCGCACCCCGCAGCCUCCCGCGGUCCCUGCUCCGCCUACUGUCGUUGCUGCUGCGUUGAUUCAGCUUGCAGCUGCAGCUCGUGCUGUUGCUGUUGUGCCGCUGCAGCUGCUCGGCUUACCGCUGCUGCUCUCUGCUCCGCUGCCUUGCCGCCUGUGCGAUCCUGCUGCUACUUGCUACUGCUCUUGCGUCACUGCUGCUCUACGCUGCUACUGCUGUUGUUACCUGAUGCUUGCUAGCUAG
rnacentral:rRNA from 1 species